rnacentral:tRNA from 1 species
AUUUAUAUAGUAUAAAAAUUAUAAUUGAUUUCCAAUCAAAAGAUCUUAAUAGUAUAAAUA